GACGUAGGGCGCAAGCGUUUGUCCGGAUUUAUUGGGCGUAAAGAGCUCGUAGGCGGUUUGUUGCGUCGGCUGUGAAAUCCCGAGGCUCAACCUCGGGUCUGCAGUCAAUACGAGCAAACUAGAGUGUUGCAGGGGAGACUGGAAUUCCUGGUGUAGCGGUGAAAUGCGCAGAUAUCAGGAGGAACACCGGUGGCGAAGGCGGGUCUCUGGGCAACAACUGACGUGGAGGAGCGAAAGCGUGGGGAGCGAACAGG
rnacentral:rRNA from 1 species